GUGCUCACUUCAGCAGCACAUAUACUAAAAUUAGAAUGAUACAGAGAAGAUUAGCAUGGCUCCUGUGCAAGGAUGACAUGCAAAUUCGUGAAGCAUUCCAUAUUUUU
ensembl:snRNA U6 U6 spliceosomal RNA